UACGGAGGAUCCAAGCGUUAUCCGGAUUUAUUGGGUUUAAAGGGUGCGUAGGCGGCUUUUUAAGUCAGGGGUGAAAGACGGUGGCUCAACCAUCGCAGUGCCUUUGAUACUGAAGAGCUUGAAUGAACUUGAGGUAGGCGGAAUGUGACAAGUAGCGGUGAAAUGCAUAGAUAUGUCACAGAACACCAAUUGCGAAGGCAGCUUACUAUGGUUUUAUUGACACUGAGGCACGAAAGCGUGGGGAUCAAACAGG
rnacentral:rRNA from 1 species